CCUACGGGAGGCAGCAGUGGGGAAUAUUGGACAAUGGAGGCAACUCUGACCCAGCGACGCCGCGUGAAUGAUGAAGGUCUUCGGAGUGUAAAGCUCUGUGAUGGGGGAUGAAAACAAUGACUGUACCCCAAUAGCAGGCCACGGCUAACUACGUGCCACCAGCCGCGGUAAUACGGAGGUGGCAAGCGUUAUCCGGAAUGACUGGGCGUAAAGGGUGCGUAGGAGGUUUAGUAAGUCGGCGGUGUAAUUCCGGGGCUCAACCUCGGCGCUACCGCCAAAACUAUUCGACUAGAGUGCAGGAGGGGUAAGUGGAAUUCCUAGUGUAGCGGUGGAAUGCGUAGAUAUUAGGAGGAACACCAGGGGCGAAGGCGACUUACUGGACUGUAACUGACACUGAGGCACGAAAGCGUGGGGAGCAAACAGGAUUAGAUACCCCAGUAGUC
rnacentral:rRNA from 1 species